rnacentral:sRNA from 1 species
GCUUUGCUCUGUACCCUGAGGAGAUACUGGACACCCACUGGGAGCUAUGGAAGAAGACCCACAGGAAGCAAUAUAACAACAAGACCAGUGAAGAGGUGGUUCAGAAGAUGACUGGACUCAAAGUACCCCUGUCUCAUUCCCGCAGUAAUGACACCCUUUAUAUCCCAGACUGGGAAGGUAGAGCCCCAGAUUCUGUCGACUAUCGAAAGAAAGGAUAUGUUACUCCUGUCAAAAAUCAGGGUCAGUGUGGUUCCUGUUGGGCUUUUAGCUCUGUGGGUGCCCUGGAGGGCCAACUCAAGAAGAAAACUGGCAAACUGUUAAAUCUGAGUCCCCAGAACCUAGUGGAUUGUGUGUCUGAGAAUGAUGGCUGUGGAGGGGGCUACAUGACCAAUGCCUUCCAAUAUGUGCAGAAGAACCGGGGUAUUGACUCUGAAGAUGCCUACCCAUAUGUGGGACAGGUGAGAUUG